AAGCGAAGAAAUGAACGGUUUUCUCGCAAAGUAGAGCAUCCGGAGAAGAUUGGGGAAUCCUGGAAAGGCGCCAGCGACCGACCGCCGACUGUCUCGUAGCCAUCUCGAAAGCUCCCGUCAGAGAAGACACGCGGUGCCGCCUUCUCUUCCAGAGGCAUCCACCAGCUUUCCACUCCUUCCCAUGGCCACAAAAGCAAAGCGCGCACUGGCCGCCCACGUCUCUCCUCCGGUCCUCCUCCAUAUAACGCCGCUGCCCGUCACACAGCAGAUACGGAACACAUGACCACACGCAUAGCUGAGGGAAGCCAGGCACGCAGUAGAUCCCAGACCACACGUCCCAAAUUAAGCUCCGAUGGACGAGGGCAAGUAUCAGCAGGGCUGGCUCGCCGUCGGCCUGCCGCCGGCGCCGGUGCUCGCCGUCACCGGCAUCGUGACCUUUUUCCUCUACCUUUCGUGGCAGAUGGAUGAGUUCGAGGAGCAGCUGCGCCAUCGCACCCAGGCAGGCUUCUGGGUGCUCAUGGUGCUGGGACUCCUCGCCCUGGGCGUGCUCGCGCAGCAUGUGCUGUUCGACGGAGAGGGGAGGGUCGCCGUGCCCGCGGCAUGGCGAGGCCAGCCCGAGGGCGGCUCCGGCACGUCGCCGUGGGGCGUCGCGGCCCUUGUGGCUCUGCUGCUGGUGCUUGUGUCUCACAGGUCCGACUUCCAGAUAUUCAAGCCCCCGGGGUUUAGAUGAGCAUGCUUUUUUUUUCUCGAUGGAAAGCUAUGUAUCCCGAUGCAGAUAGCUAUGAUAUACUAUUAUUAUAUACAUAAAUUAGUAGAAGGUGUUUUUGCACGUCUGCAUGAUCAAGCAAAAUAACAUAAAUAAAAAAGAAUUACUCCCUCCGUCCCCGGAAAUUGCUUUUUGGAGGUCGGGAGCAUGGAGGCCUUCAAAUGCAAAAUUCAAAAUUUAUGAAAAUUCAUACUUUUACAUUUCAAAAAAUUCUGAAAAAAACUACGAAGAUAGAUGAAGGCAGAGUGCAAGUGCGUAAAUUUUCAGGACGAAAUGCCUUGCAAAAAAGACAAAUCUGAGCUUUUUUAACACAUAAUAUCAUCCCCACAAACCAGUAAUUUGUCUAUUUUGUAUAGGUCGCAUUUCAACGUAUUUCAUUCUAAAAUUUUACACACACGCGUCACAUCCUUAUUUAUUUGUACAAUUUUUCAGAAUAUUUUGAACCCGAUUUUUUUGAAUUUUGAAUUUUUAAAAAAGUGGGCCUCCAUGAAAGACGACAGACAAAAUGUCAUUCUCCUCCAUCCCAUAAUAUAAUAUAAGAUGUAAAUAUUGGAUCUAAUACAUUUCAAAUAUAAUCGGUAUAUAAUUGGAGAAAUUUGUGAUUGACGUUGUGUCCAAUGAAAGAAUGUUUAUAGUCUGGGUGAAAGCGAAGGAUGAGCCAAAGGAGACGAUAUAAUUCCCAUGCGGGAUCUAUUAUUGGGGAUCUAUGGGGCAUCUUUUUAGGGUUGUACAUCGAUUAGAGGGACAAUUAUUUGGCUUGAUGGCUGGGCGCAGAUCUUCAUAUAUUCCGUGUGCGGUGAUCAAGAUGGAGUGGCGUGCCAUCUACAGUAUUGACGAUGGCGAGUCUUGGCGGCAGGGUGCAGCGGGGGCUAGAUGCUGGAUACCGUUCAAUGGGCGCGUGCAGGAGGCAGGCCCUGUUUAGCAUUGCGGUGGCUUCAACGGCAGAAGGGUCUAAUAAGAUCAGUGCAUUGAUUGAUCCUAAAGAUGGGACUGCGAAAGAAGGUGGCGGCAGAUUCUACAGCAUGUGCAUGUGGUGCACAUUGAGGGUGUGCUUGACCGGUUGGUGCUUCCGGCUAGCUGGCGGGCGGCUUGGUGAGGCCACCGAUUUUUUUGGUGUGUGUGACGCACGGUCAGGGCACAUCAUCAAUCUUGUAGUAGGGCGACAAUUUUGCGAGGAAGGUGAUUUUGGAUUGAUCUAUGUAUUUAUUUUAUAAGAUCUUAUUAAAUAAUCCAAUAAAGAUGGUUGUGUGCAUCGCUCAAUGCAGAAGUCAGGGGGUAAUCCUUGUUUUCAAAAAAAUAGUGUAGACAUGCAAAAAAGAUAGUGUAGACAUGCAAAUUCUUCAUGAUCUGAAAAAUGUUUGCUUUGACUUUGAAAUAUUAUGUGAAGCCUUAUAUCAGUUUUAUGCAUGUGUGAUAUGUAUUAUCAGAUUGAGCUUGUUGUUGAAUUUGGCAAUUGGUGCAUGAUGAGGGUCAGAAUGGUAGGAGGAACUCCUGUCUAGAUGCAGAAAAAGCAUAAGGCUGGAGAUGAAGCUGAGUUCAUGGGUGAAAACAAGUGAAAUGACUUCCAUUUCGUGGUCUUAUUUGAGGAAGGGGCAGUUAUAAUGCCAAAUUUUGACACGGUCAUGCUCAAUACUACUAAAUUCUCCUCCGUCUCACAAGUAAAUCAAUAUCAAAGCUCAUAAGAUCUUGGUGGUGAAAAUAAGGAUUUUUUUUGGAGAAGUAAACUGGGGGAGAAGAUGUAUGUGUCAAAGAGAAUGUCAUUGGAGAAGGUGGUAAAAAAGUGAUGAACUAGAUCUGGUGUUUGAUUCUGGCGCAGUCGGGAAAGGUUGCAUUUCUAUUAGGAGGAAGGGGAAGAUGAGAUGAAGUCACAAGAAUCUUUAAUACCAAGUUCGAGAAGGCACGGGCUGGGGAAAGCUGGAGCAGCAAAUGGGUCCAAUGUUGUAACUGUUAGAAGAUACGAAAGGGUCAAAGGCCAGAAAGAUGGUAACAUGAUUGCACUUGCUAUGCGGAGGGAAACCUCUAAAAACAAUACACCAUAAAAGCCAAGAGAAAGGAAGAAUUGAGUAGGUGACCCUGAUGAUCAACAACGUGGUGCAAGACGACUAUGUAAGGAGCCAUGGUUGGAAUCCGUCACAGAUGCAUGAUCACUUGUUGAUAGGGCAUGUUGCCUAAUUUGGUCUUCAAAUCUUCUUCUUGAUGUAAGGGUGAUGUGAUUCAGAGGCUUUUCUAACUCUGUUGUAGUUGUUAAGUAGGAGCAAAGUUUUAAAUAGUUGGCUAUGGAAAAUAGCGGUAGAAGUGUUAGUGUGCUAAAUGGCAUUAAAUGACUUAGCAUGAUGCUCUUACAAAUGCUAGAUGGCGCUAUUUAAAACUGUGAGUAGGAGUGAUGCUUGGAUGAAGUUUCACUGUUUUAAGUUUCCUUGUUGCAUGCAAUGUUGUUUUUAUGUUUGGAUUUGAGUGUUGUAAGAAAACCAUCAAUUUCUUAAUGAAAUCAAC
rnacentral:rRNA from 1 species